UUUGUCUUUAAUGUUAGAGUA
rnacentral:piRNA from 1 species